GUAAUUAUUGAUCAACUUUUAUUAACAGUUUACAAACUUUUAGACAAAAAUAUAAUUAAAACUUCUUUUUAUUCAUUCUGUUGGCUCACAGAAAUGCAGUUAAAAAAAAAGAUUAACAAAACAUUCAUAUUAAACUGCUAUAAUUUUGGCUGCGACUAGACUGAAAGGCUGGUGACAAUAUUUCCCAUCUAAUGAAAUAAUUAUGGCUGUUACAAUAAAAAAAAAAUAGUGAAAAUCUACAUGUAUGUUAGCUACAUUUUAUACAUUAGACUGAAAAUGUAACAAAGUAAAUAUUUGUACGCAACCGGGAUAUCUAGAUAUAUAUUUUUAAGUGUCAUUUCAUUUGAAAACCACUAUCAGCUGACACACUAGUAAUACUUUUUUGUUUUACUGCUACAGUAUCAUACAGAACUGUGUAUCUAUGUAAACAACAUCUAGCCUUUAAUAAUUAGGAGAUGAUGCAGAUUUUAUGCACUACCACCUACUUCAUUAGAAGGUCAAUAGCGGCAAAAGAGCUCCAUGUUUUGGUAGAACUCUUGUAAAAGUUAAAUUUAUGUUUGAAUAUAUAGAAAUGGAAAUUUAUCACACAUCAAGACACAUUCACACAGGACACUCAAAAAAGUAAUAUUUACUUCUGAUAUGCUCUAUGCUUUAGUUUUCUUUUUGACAAAUAUAAAGAAUUGUUAAGCCACAGUUGGAAGUACAUUAAUGAUGUAAAAAAAAAAAAAAAAA